AAGGAGAUUAAGUCAUUUGAGUGCUUUGUGCAUAGCAGAGCUUUCUCAAACACAGUAAUAAGAUUUAGCUGAUAAUAAUAUCGGUGCCCUUUUAAUGUAUAACAAAAAUUUCCAAAGUCAGAAGUCUUAAAAAUUAUUUCAAAGCUCAAAGUGUAUGUUCCUGCAUAUGCCCAUUUAAAUAGUUUCAAUAUUGUUUAAUCAAAAUUCUACUCCUCUUUCAAUUCAAGUGACUGUGGAUAGCUACAUGGUGACUCUGGGCAUCUUCCACCUCUUCAUGCCUACAGCCAGGCAGGAGCCCCAAGAAUCUGGCUUCUUUGAGAGAGAUGAGCUAUUGGUUUCA
rnacentral:lncRNA from 1 species